AUGAGACUGCUGGCGGGCUGGCUGUGCCUGGGCCUGGCGUCCGUGUGGCCGGCGCGGAGGAUGUGGACACUGCGGAGCCCGCUGACCGCUCCCUGUACGUGAACACAGCCAGGGCCCCGGUGGGCCGGCGGCGGCCGUGGGCAGCUGGACGGAGCCCACCAGUGGUAUGUGUGCAACAGAGAGAAUUUACACGAGUCACUUCAGGCUGUCUUUGUUCAGAGUUACCUUGAUCGAGGAACACAGAUCUUCUUAAACAGCAGCACUGAGAAGUCGGGCUGGCUAUUUAUCCAGUUAUGUCAUUCCUUUGUGUCAUCUGUUUUUAGCCUGUUUAUGUCUAGAACAUCUAUCAAUGGGUUGCCAGGAAGAGGCUCAAUGUUCGUGUUUUCACCAGAUCAGUUUCAGAGACUUCUUAAAAUUAAUCCAGACUGGAAAACCCAUAGACUUCUUGAUUUAGGUGCUGGAGAUGGAGAAGUCACAAAAAUCAUGAGUCCUCAUUUUGAAGAAAUUUAUGCCACUGAGCUUUCGGAAACUAUGAUAUGGCAGCUGCAGAAGAAAAAAUACAAUGGUGUAAGUGAAUGGCAGAAUACGGGGUUCCAGUAUGAUGUCAUCAGCUGCUUGAGUUUGCUGGACCGCUGUGAUCAGCGCCUGACUUUAUUGAAAGAUAUCAGAAGUGUGUUGGAGCCAACUAGAGGCAGAGCCAUCCUUGCCCUGGUUCUUCCCUUUCACCCAUAUGUGGAAAAUGUAGGUGGCAAGUGGGAGAAACCAUCAGAAAUUUUGGAAAUCAAGGGACAGAAUUGGGAAGAACAAGUGAAUAGCCUGCCUGAAGUGCUCAGAAAAGCUGGUUUUGUCAUCGAAGCUUUCACCAGACUGCCAUACCUGUGUGAAGGCAACAUGUACAAUGACUACUAUGUUCUGGAUGAUGCUGACUUUGUUCUCAGACCAGUAUAAACAUGUAGAGGCCGAAGUCUUCAGAGUCUGCCCCACAAUCUACCCUCCAGAAGAGGGUCUGCAAGCAUGGUUAGUGAUGGAAGACUGUGGGGACUGCCAUUCUAAAUAUCGUGUAGGAAUUUAGAAAGCCAAAAUACUAAUUAUUUCUUUGUAGUGUAUACAAGGAAUGUUUUUUAAAAAAACAGAACCCCAGCUCUCUGUGGAUUUUUAUCAACCCUUUACUCAGUUAGGGUGACAGUCCAGUGCAGGUCACACUCCACUUAUGUUGGAAGAUAUUUUUUAUACAUUUGCUGUGGGGACUCAUUCCCAGACAAAGCAAUAGUCAUGAAUCCAUGGAACCAAUAAAUGGAUCGUUUUUAAUAAAAUGAAGAUUGGCAAUAAAGCUGUCUAUUUAGUUCUGAAUAUUGGUUAUAAGGCCUAGCCACUGAUGCUCUUUCCUCUUAGAAACUUCCUGUUACUGUUCAAGACAAUGUUUUUAAUCAUGCUAAUAAACUUUUUGG